GGACCAGUCGUCUAAUGGUAAGAUAUGAGAUUUUGGCUCUCACGUUAUAGGUUCGAAUCCUAUCUGGUCUU
rnacentral:tRNA from 1 species